AUACUUACCUGGCAGGGGAGAUGCCGCUAUGGCGAAAGUGGUUUUCCCAGGGUGAGGCUUAUCCAAUACUCCAUAUAAGUAUUGUGCUCCAAAUGUGCUGACCCCUGCCCAAAUGCUGACUUCCCCAAAUAUAGGAAGCUUGACUGUAUAAUUUGUGGUAGUGGGGGACUGUGUUUGCACUUUCACC
rnacentral:snRNA from 1 species